GAGUUUGAUCCUGGCUCAGGAUGAACGCUGGCGGCGUGCCUAAUACAUGCAAGUCGAACGAACAGAUAAGGAGCUUGCUCCUUUGACGUUAGCGGCGGACGGGUGAGUAACACGUGGGUAACCUACCUAUAAGACUGGGAAUAACUCCGGGAAACCGGGGCUAAUGCCGGAUAACAUGUUGAACCGCAUGGUUCUACAGUGAAAGACGGUCUUGCUGUCACUUAUAGAUGGACCCGCGCCGUAUUAGCUAGUUGGUGGGGUAACGGCCUACCAAGGCGACGAUACGUAGCCGACCUGAGAGGGUGAUCGGCCACACUGGAACUGAGACACGGUCCAGACUCCUACGGGAGGCAGCAGUAGGGAAUCUUCCGCAAUGGGCGAAAGCCUGACGGAGCAACGCCGCGUGAGUGAUGAAGGUCUUCGGAUCGUAAAGCUCUGUUGUUAGGGAAGAACAAAUGUGUAAGUAACUGUGCAUAUCUUGACGGUACCUAACCAGAAAGCCACGGCUAACUACGUGCCAGCCGCCGCGGUAAGACC
rnacentral:rRNA from 1 species